rnacentral:rRNA from 2 species
CACCGGCGGCCCGAGUGGUGAUCGUGAUUAUUGGGUCUAAAGGGUCCGUAGCCGGUUUGGUCAGUCCUCCGGGAAAUCUGAUAGCUCAACUAUUAGGCUUUCGGGGGAUACUGCCAGACUUGGAACCGGGAGAGGUAAGACGUACUUCGGGGGUAGGAGUGAAAUCUUGUAAUCCCCGAGGGACGACCGAUGGCGAAGGCGUCUUACCAGAACGGGUUCGACGGUGAGGGACGAAAGCUGGGGGCACGAA